AUUGAACGCUGGCGGCAUGCUUUACACAUGCAAGUCGAACGGUAACAGGCCUUCGGGUGCUGACGAGUGGCGCACGGGCGAGUAAUGCAUCGGAACGUACCCAGAGGUGGGGGAUAACGCAGCGAAAGCUGUGCUAAUACCGCAUGUGAUCUGAGGAUGAAAGCGGGGGACCGAGCAGCAAUGUUUGGCCUCGCGCCUUUGGAGCGGCCGAUGUUGGACUGGCUAGUUGGUGGGGUAAAGGCCUACCAGGUCGACGAUCCGUAGCUGGUCUGAGAGGACGACCAGCCGCACGGGGAGUGAGACAGGGCCCAGGCGCCUGCGGGAGGCAGCAGUGGGGAAUUUUGGACAAUGGGCGCAAGCCUGGUCCAGCAAUGCCGCGUGCGGGAAGAAGGCCUUCGGGUUGUAAACCGCUUUUGGCAGGAACGAAACGGUGUCCGCUAAUACCGGGCGCUAAUGACGGUACCUGCAGAAUAAGCACCGGCUAACUACGUG
rnacentral:rRNA from 1 species